rnacentral:rRNA from 1 species
GAUGAACGCUGGCGGCGUGCCUAAUACAUGCAAGUCGAGCGAACGGACGAGAAGCUUGCUUCUCUGAUGUUAGCGGCGGACGUGUGAGUAACACGUGGAUAACCUACCUAUAAGACUGGGAUAACUUCGGGAACCCGGAGCUAAUACCGGAUAAUAUUUUGAACCGCAUGGUUCAAAAGUGAAAGACGGUCUUGCUGUCACUUAUAGAUGGAUCCGCGCUGCAUUAGCUAGUUGGUAAGGUAACGGCUUACCAAGGCAACGAUGCAUAGCCGACCUGAGAGGGUGAUCGGCCACACUGGAACUGAGACACGGUCCAGACUCCUACGGGAGGCAGCAGUAGGGAAUCUUCCGCAAUGGGCGAAAGCCUGACGGAGCAACGCCGCGUGAGUGAUGAAGGUCUUCGGAUCGUAAAACGCUGUUAUUAGGGAAGAACAUAUGUGUAAGUAACUGUGCACAUCUUGACGGUACCGAAUCAGAAAGCCACGGCUAACUACGUG